AUAGUAAAUAAUAAAUUAUUAAUAAAAAUAUUAUUAAUAAAUAAAAAUCGUAAUUGCUGUAAAAAAAAGUCCCAUUGCAUAAAUUGUGUCAAGGAUUUGUUCUUUUUUUUAUAUAUAUUGAUUUUGUUUGUUUGUUUGUUUGUUUGUUUGUUUGUAGUUGAUUUCCGGAUUCAGAUGGAGCCCAAGGUGCUGCACCCUCAAGUCUCGGUGAUGUUCUGGUUUCUAGACAGGACACAGGUCCAUCCAUCACUUUUUUUUUUCUUUCACAAGAGCUGAAAUCGCUACCAGAUGUGGAUGCAAUCUGUCCCUGUUGCCAUGGCGACGGCUGGGUUGUGAACAGGCGUGUAGCCGCGGGUCGGUUGUCCUGCCGCUUGAUUAUGCUCCAGGUUUUUGAGAGGUAUGUUUAGACUGGCACUCCAUUUGUCAUAUCGCCUCCUCUGAAAUAUCAAUUUGUCUCUCCAACCGCAGAUGAUGGUCAUAAAACCAUAUUUUGUGAGUUUUUUUCCCCUAGAAAUCUAGCUUCUGAAAUACUUGUUUUGUGAAUACUUUCUACAUUUUAUUUAUAUAUUUUUUAUUUUGUUUGGAAGAAUCGCAGCCUAAAUGACUUUUCCAGCACUGGAGUGCUGUUUCAAUUGUCUCGUACCUCUACUGUGCCUAAUUUUACUGGGAAAAUUAUAUUGGAAGUAGUAUGUACGUCUCCUUAUUACUGUAAUGUAGACAAAAUAAUGGUAUAUUGCUUAAAUGUAUAAAUACUUAUAAUUAUUAUUUUUUUUAUUCUUCCUUAGAAUUCAUGUUGAUUUUAAAUAAAAAUUUAUGUAGUUCAGUAUUUUUGGAGAAU
ensembl:lncRNA